UACGUAGGGUGCGAGCGUUGUCCGGAAUUAUUGGGCGUAAAGAGCUCGUAGGCGGCUUGUCGCGUCGGAUGUGAAAGCCCGGGGCUUAACUCCGGGUCUGCAUUCGAUACGGGCAGGCUAGAGUGUGGUAGGGGGAGAUCGGAAUUCCUGGUGUAGCGGUGAAAUGCGCAGAUAUCAGGAGGAACACCGGUGGUGAAGGCGGAUCUCUGGGCCAUUACUGACGCUGAGGAGCGAAAGCGUGGGGAGCGAACAGG
rnacentral:rRNA from 1 species